rnacentral:rRNA from 1 species
UGGGGAAUAUUGCACAAUGGGCGAAAGCCUGAUGCAGCGACGCCGCGUGAGGGAUGACGGCCUUCGGGUUGUAAACCUCUUUCAGUAGGGACGAAGCGCAAGUGACGGUACCUGCAGAAGAAGCACCGGCUAACUACGUGCCAGCAGCCGCGGUAAUACGUAGGGUGCGAGCGUUGUCCGGAAUUACUGGGCGUAAAGAGCUCGUAGGCGGUUUGUCACGUCGUCUGUGAAAUCCUAGGGCUUAACCCUGGACGUGCAGGCGAUACGGGCUGACUUGAGUACUACAGGGGAGACUGGAAUUUCUGGUGUAGCGGUGGAAUGCACAGAUAUCAGGAAGAACACCGAUGGCGAAGGCAGGUCUCUGGGUAGUAACUGACGCUGAGGAGCGAAAGCAUGGGUA